rnacentral:rRNA from 1 species
UACGUAGGGGGGCAAGCGUUGUCCGGAUUUAUUGGGCGUAAAGAGCGUGUAGGCGGUUCGGUAGGUCCGUUGUGAAAACUCGAGGCUCAACCUCGAGACGCCGAUGGAAACCAUCGAACUAGAGUCCGGAAGAGGAGAGUGGAAUUCCUGGUGUAGCGGUGAAAUGCGCAGAUAUCAAGAGGAACACCUGAGGUGAAGACGGGUUGCUGGGCCGACACUGACGCUGAUGCGCGAAAGCCAGGGGAGCAAACGGG